UUCAUUCACAAAACAAAGGCCCCACUCAGCGAUUUCGCUCUCCCACCUCCCACAUCCCACAUCCCACAUCCCGCCUCCUUGUAUCUUUCAUGGGCCUUUUGUAUCUACACUUCUGGCGGACUGAAGCCCAUCCAUUUCUCUCCCGCGAGAAUGGGAAGGAAUCCACGGAUGCUGAUGACGUUAAAGAAUUUUUGUUUCAAAAAAAAUAAUAUACACGCGCGUUGGAAACAAUUAUCUAAUUUCCUCACCGCUCUCAAUUGUGUGCAACCCAAUUAACAGACAAAUAAUAAUGAUGAUCGGUUGCGUAACAACUAGCUGACUUAUCCUUUAAAUAUUCUAUUAUAUUCGAAUCGUGCUCAGGUCGUGCUGGAAUGGAAAUCAUCACGCAGGAAUCUCAAUUUUGGAAUAUAUCAAACGAUUGUUUACGUUAGUUGGACCUACGGAGCGGGUGGCGAAAUAAAAUAGAGUCAAUUGGUUUAGGUGAAAGGCGAACCUAUAGAUACACACAGAUCCAGAUCCGUAGCCAUGUAGUCAUGAGCGAUGAAAAGAACAUCGGGUGCAUCGCUUUGUUAAUGGCCACGAUGAGCAGACACAGGCAGAGCUGCUUGUUUUUCAUCGAUGUUGAGUCUAUGAAAUUCUGGAAUUUUUCGGAAACGUCUAGAGCAACAUGUUUCGCAUUUUCGGUCUAUAAAUUUUAAAGCGACUUGACGUCAUUUGGACCUUAAAGUGGCGUCAUUGGACAACAAUUUAUAGGAAAUAAAUAUUAUUGUUACGUCUCUUAAAUUAAUACAGUCAUCCGCAGAUAUGUAUAUAUUUUGUGGUAAACAAGAUUGUAAAGAUUUCUUUCCGGAAAUUAAUAAAUUUGAAAUGCUUAUAUUCGCCAUUGUAUUUAAAUGGCCAGGAGCGUACGUAACACGCUUACGUAUUUUUGAAAAUUCGUGCACAUAUUGAGUACAUUUCAGCUUCAGAAUAUUUAAAUGUAUGUAUGUAAGUACAUGGAUGUGCAUGCGCAAAUAUACUAAUUGGGUUUUGUAUAAAAGGAAGUAAUAAACGUUCUCAAACAGAGGGAAAAAUAUUUUUAAAAAAUUGGCAAACGGCCAAGGUAAUAUGAUUGGUUUUUGUGAUUUGUCCGAAUGACGUAGGCAAACACAGCAGAAAGUAGAGCGAAAUUGUCGGUUUGCGCGGAAAUUUGGAGGCCGACCAAAGGGUCUAUGUGUUUCUGUUCAAGCAUCAUCAACAAACAAAAUUGAAAUCUUGCUUACAAUCCCAUUUUUUAAAUGUAAACAAUCAUGGAUAUUUAUGUAACAAAUAGUCUGCCGGCUCGACUCAAUUGUGCACUCGAAAUACCUAGGGUUUCCUGCUUUUAUAUAUUAAAAAAAAUAUACAAAUUUCUUGAUUCUCUUUUUUCUUAAUUUACACUAUAGCACCAACACGUUGUAAUGGUACAAGCGUUAUAGUGUAGAACUUAAAUAUGAUGAGGAACUUGCAUAGGACCUGCCAGAUUCAUUUGGGAAUUUUCUGAAAUUGUAGAUUUUUUAUUUGUCUCAUGUGUGAAAAGAAUGUAUUGUUUUCUUAAAAAUAUAAAU